CGUACGGCUCAGUAACACGUAGUCAUCAUUACCUGGAGACCAGGAUAACCCCGGGAAACUGGGAUUAAUAGAAAAUAGGUCAUCUCAUCUGGAAGGAGAGAUGGCUUAAAGGGGCACACGAGCUUCUUUCAUACAGCUGCUCCAGGAUGGGAGUGGGAGUGAUCAGGCUGUUGGCGGGGUAAUGGCCCACCAAACCAGUAACCAGUACGGGCCUUGAGAGAGGGGGCCCGGAGAUGGUCAGUGAGAGAAGGGUCCAGGUCAUACGGGGCGCAGCAGGCGCGAACCCUUCGCAAUGCGAGAAAGCGUGACGAGGUUAAUCCGAGUGGUUCCCGCUGAGGGAAUCUUUUGUCGGCUCUAAAAAGGGCGGCGAAUAAGGGGAGGGCAAGUCUGGUGUCACCCGCCGCGGUAAUACCAGCUCCUCGAGAGGGCGGGGCGAUUAUUGGGCCUAAAGCAUCCGUAGCCGGGUCUGUAGGUCCUCUGUUAAAUCCAACGGCUUAACCGUUGGCCCGCAGAGGAUACCGCAGGACUAGGAGGCGGGAGAGGCACACGGGGCU
rnacentral:rRNA from 1 species